AGAGUUUGAUCCUGGCUCAGAAUGAACGCUGGCGGCGUGCUUAACACAUGCAAGUCGAACGAUGAAGCCUAGCUUGCUAGGUGGAUUAGUGGCGCACGGGUGAGUAAUAUAUAGGUAACGUGCCUCUUAGUCUGGGAUAGCCAUUGGAAACGAUGAUUAAUACUGGAUACUCCUUCUCAUUAUAAUUUGAGUUGGGAAAGUUUUUCGCUAAGAGAUCGGCCUAUUUCCCAUCAGGUAGUUGGUAGUGUAAGAGACUACCAAGCCUAUGACGGGUAGCUGGUCUGAGAGGAUGAUCAGCCACACUGGGACUGAGACACGGCCCAGACUCCUACGGGAGGCAGCAGUGGGGAAUAUUGGACAAUGGGCGAAAGCCUGAUCCAGCAAUACCGCGUGUGUGAAGAAGGCCUGUGGGUUGUAAAGCACUUUCAAUUGGGAGGAAUACCUGCUGAGAUAAUAUCAGGCAGAUUGACAUUACCUUUAGAAGAAGCACCGGCUAACUCCGUGCCAGCAGCCGCGGUAAUACGGAGGGUGCAAGCGUUAAUCGGAAUUACUGGGCGUAAAGCGUACGUAGGCGGUUCGUUAAGUUGGAUGUGAAAGCCCCGGGCUUAACCUGGGAACUGCAUUUAAAACUGGCGAACUAGAGUUAAGUAGAGGGGAGUGGAAUUUCAGGUGUAGCGGUGAAAUGCGUAGAGAUCUGAAGGAACACCAGUGGCGAAGGCGACUCCCUGGAACAUUACUGACGCUAAGGUGUGAAAGUUUGGUUAGCAAACGGGAUUAGAUACCCCGGUAGUCCACGCCCUAAACGAUGAACACUAGUCGUCGGGAAGCUUGUCUUCUCGGUGAUGCACUUAACAGAUUAAGUGUUCCGCCUGGGGAGUACGGUCGCAAGAUUAAAACUCAAAGGAAUAGACGGGGACCCGCACAAGUGGUGGAGCAUGUGGUUUAAUUCGAAAAUACGCGAAGAACCUUACCUAGCCUUGACAUUGAUUGAACGGACCAGAGAUGGACCGGUGCCCUUCGGGGAGCAUGAAAACAGGUGCUGCACGGCUGUCGUCAGCUCGUGUCGUGAGAUGUUGGGUUAAGUCCCGCAACGAGCGCAACCCUCGUCCUUAGUUGCCAGCAGGUUAAGCUGGGCACUCUAAGGAGACUGCCUUCGUAAGGAGGAGGAAGGUGAGGACGACGUCAAGUCAUCAUGGCCCUUACGGCUAGGGCUACACACGUGCUACAAUGGGGCGUACAGAGUGUUGCGAUACCGCGAGGUGGAGCCAAUCACUUAAAGCGUCUCUCAGUUCGGAUUGGAGUCUGCAACUCGACUCCAUGAAGCUGGAAUCACUAGUAAUCGUAGAUCAGCAAUGCUACGGUGAAUACGUUCCCGGGUCUUGUACUCACCGCCCGUCACACCAUGGGAGUUGAUUUCACCCGAAAUUGGGAAGCUAACCUUCGGGAGGCUACCACUUACGGUGGAAUUAGCGACUGGGGUGAAGUCGGAACAAGGUAACC
rnacentral:rRNA from 1 species